rnacentral:lncRNA from 1 species
CGCCCCGCUCCGCACAGCAGAGGUGCAGCUCUCCCCGGGCUGAGACUGCUGCUUUGGGUCACGCAGAGAGGACAGCAGAGCCCCGCGCUGCACAUCCCGGCAGCUGAAUCUCCCACCGGGGUUUGGCCACACGAGCUGAAUGCACAUUGAGCAUCGCAGCGCUUCCAGCACCCAAACCCCCCUCCAGCUCAGCCCAGCCAAGUCAGCCCAGGCAGUCAGGCCCAGCUGGUGGCCCUCCAGGCGCUGUGCCAGCACCGGCUCUGCUGGGUGGGCUGCAGCCCCCGCUGCAGGCAGCGGUGAGCCCUGGGGCAGCUGAGCUGCUCUGCAGCUGCAGCCUAUGGGAAGGUGCAGUGCUUUCCCAGUCCUUCCCCCACCCCUCUCACAGUUAUGGUGUCUCCCAGCCCCACACGAGCGUGGAUUUCGGUUGGCAGCUCCCAGGCAGGAAGGUCGCUCACCUCAGUGACGCAGGGAGCAGCUCAGAUGAUUGACACCAACACAAACAGUGUGGGCUGAGCCCGGUGCUGGGCCUGGCAGCACAGGACUGCCCACCCCUUCUGUCCAAAGGCAGACAGGCAGCUCAGCAGGCUGCAAACAGGGGUACGUGUUUCUAAGGGUGCCCUUGGGAAACCAGCUCUAAUUUCGUCACGUUUCCAGUCACGGCACUUGCACACAUCAGUGCGAAAGGCAGUAAGGGAGCUGGCUGACACUGCCCUCAGCCCGCCCUCCCCUGCCCCGCUGUGUUGGCCCUGGGAAGGUCCUUGUGAGGCACAGCACCACUCAGCACCACCCACUGCAUUUCUGUUCCUUCUCCUUUGCAGAAAUGUCAGGGCAGCAGCCCUGUGCCACCUGGCCCCUCCCGUGGAAGGGGAACAGAGAACAGCACGUGAUGUUCUGCCCCGCCAUGCAAUCCAAAGGAAAUCCCCCACUGUGUGUCUAUUGACCAGCUUUGCAGCGAGCACAGGUGGAGGUGGGCCUGCUUUCUCCAGGCUGGGUCCAGGGUGUGGGUCCGGGGGAUGGGCUUUCCCAUCCUUUAAGGUAAGACCACCCCAUAGAAGCGCUGUGAGAGGACCACACCGUGUCUGUUACAUGCAGUCUCCCUCCUGACUCAAAACCAGAUGGCGGAGCUGUGUGAGCCCGGCACACUCACGGGCCGAUAACGAUCUCCAGGAAGGCAGCAGCCAUUGUCAGAGCCUGUGGGACACACCCCGACUUCAGGCUUUUUUCCCCUCUCAUUCUCGAACUGUUGCUGAAAUCCUCACUGCAGUAAUGCUGAGCAGACAUUCCCCGUGUGGUUCAGUGCCGCUAAGCCAGAAGGGGCUCCUUCCUUCCAUGGGAGCCAAAGUGCUUCUCCUCACCCUGUAAGGUCUCAGAACACGGAGGGCUGCAUGCAGCACAGCACUGCCAGGAGCAGAGGGGAAGAAUAGCAGCUCCUGAGAGUUAAAAGGAGAAACAAAAAGAAGGCACCUCAGCAGAGGGAAGAGUUCUGCGCUACGUGAGGCUCUGAGACACACGGCCGCAUGGUUCCCAAAGCAAACCAGCACGUGCCUGAGGCACACAAGGCUGGUGUAACCACGCGGCAAUGUGCAGAAUCUGGAACAGUCAUGCUUAGCAUGGAUACGCAUCUGCUGUCUAAGAACCUCAAAGGUAUCAUGAACCUAAAUUAACGAUCUGCACUGAUGUCAUUCCUUCACGGAGCCAAAGCCUCCCUGGGGAAUGCAGUCCGGCUGCUCCAGCAGGAAAAGGGCACCGCGGCGGCACACGGCCAUGGGACACCCACAGGGCCUGCCCUGGAAACCUGCACAGCCCCCGCUGAGCUGCCAGGGAACGCUCCAGCCCAGCUGCGAUGCAUGAGGAGCCCGGCCAGAAAGAGGUGACAGACACACGUAGGCAGCAGGAAGGGCGGCUCCAGCACAGACCCAGCCCCGCUCUCUGUAGUUGGAGCACAGAUUUCCUCAUUUCAAUUAAAGACUGAUGAGUCUUGGAAGCAAGCAAGUAAGAACUGACUCCAAAUCCGGCACGGGUACAUGAACUGCAAGAGAUAGCAAGAUCAGCAAAAUAGGCACACGUGCAAGGAAAGGUGGGGUGGAAGCGUGCACCUUCACAGAGAUGCUGACUGCCCACAGCCCCCGCUGUCAGGGAGACCUGCGAGGAGGCUGGACGAGCAGCCAGGAACACCAUCAGAAACAAGAGGGACUUUCCUAAGUUACAGUCCUGGCACUUGGGCCCACGAGUACAUGGGACAGCCCCUGCUUGACUGCUAGACAACAGACUGCAAAACAGAAUAACACAGCUCUUCAGCUGAUGGGCAUCUGCAAGUUCUUCCUUAGCAGGAAUGAAUGCCAGCAUUUCCUUGACAUUAUGGUUUGAGGCUACAGUGCCUCUUGACCUGUCUCUUCCUGGCAGGCGACCACCUGUAGAACCAGCAGAUGCUCUCAGGACAGGCUCACAUCACAGCACGUCAGGAAGGAGGAUUUGAUUUCAUCCCUUCAGAAAGAACAUCCACCUGUCUCGUGCAAGCAUGGCUAUUGCUUUAUUGACCGAGUCCAUUUCUACUUACAAAGGGCUUCACUCUCCCACUUCAAAGCACAGUGUUUUGUUCCAGUUCUUCAAAUAAAGACACCAUCUUGCUCACCAUGGAAUCCAGCAGCCCAUAAACCUGCAGCAGAAGUUAACAGAAGACACGUGCAGUGAAAAUGAGUGAUGAAAUCCUGAUGAGAUGGACAGAGCAGAGCUGGUUUCUAACAGAGGGGUGUAGCCGUGUAUGGGCGCACACACGAGAAGCAGCUGCCUGCUGACAGAUCCGAGCUCCAGUAACAGCCUUCCUGGCUAUGAAGUGUGUUUAACAUUGUCUGAGAUACAAUUAAUUCUGCUGCUCCCUCCAGAGUCCCCAAGUGUGCAAAAGACAUCCCAGGCAGAAAUCCCACACGUGGAGAUGGCUGCAUUUCUGUUAAUGGGCUCCAGCCUGGAAUCAGGGCCGCCUUCCCUCGCUCGUCACACCCACCUUGCUGCACAAUUACAGACACACAGCUGUCAGUUUAACAGAACGCUUUACCUCUCCAGCUGCGCCUCAGGGUCGGUUUGUAAGCAAAGGACAGAAGGCAGAAAUGAAGGCACAAGUUUUGGCCGGACUCACUUCGACGUAAAGCUUCUCCUGGUACAGCCCCCAGACAGUGGGGUCCAUCUGCUCCCGAGGGGGUGCGGCAGGGGCUGCAGCUGCGGCUCCUGUGGGCUGUGCCAUCUCCUUCUCUGAGGAGCUGCCAGAUUUCAGCUUCUUCUUCUCUUUCACUUUCGACUUUCUGCUGUUUGGGCGUUCCUGUUUGAGGGACAGAGUUGGAAAACAGAACUGAUGCGGAUCAGAACCCUUUCAGGGGUUGGAAAUCAGCUCCAGCUCAGGCACACAGCCUCGCGAGGCACCGCAGAACACGAUGCUGUUUUCCACAGGCAUCCCAGCACGAACCUCUUUCUCUUUUCCAGCAGUCUUCGUUGUCCUCCUUUUGUCUUCUUUAUCCUUACCACCAACUGACGUUUUCUCUUCUCUUCUCCCAGUUAUUUUGUCACCUUCUUCUACAGGUUGCUUUUCUUCCCCUAAGAAUGAACUAAUUCCACUUACCUAAAAGCAACACUUAUAUCCAGAAAGACUCCCAGUGCACUCAGGGAGUAUAAACACAGCAUUUCUGCACUGUAUUUUCCCCUCCUUAUUGAGCUGAGCUAUACUGCACCGAGAAGCAGCAGCGUGGAAGAGUGCUUUGUUUAAGUAAGGAACGAGCAGACCUCAAACGUUCAUCAGAGCAACGCCCAUAAAGCAGCUGAAAAUGAGAUAAUUUUUGGUCUCAUCAGUUCAAAAACCAGCACUAAAAUGCAGUGAAAUUAAAAUACUUAUUUGCGAUAUUUUCUCUCUCUGUGUGCAAUUUUUAACAGCAAACCUCAGGGCACCGUUCUUAUCUCACACGCUGCUGUUUUCUCUGGUGCGUUUUCUUAUAAAAGCUUUGGGGUGAAGCUGAUGAAGCUGCCAUUCCAGUUGAAAUUCAGGAGGUUUUUUGGGGUGCCAGCAGUCCCCGCAGUCCUCCUGCUGUGCUGAAGCCACCACUCACCUCUUCCCUCCGGACCAACAUCCACGCAGGUGUCCCUCUCAGGCAAUCCAAGCUGGGAUCUCAGCCUCACGGAGUGCCCCACCAGCCCAUCUACUGCCUCACGCCACAGCUGGAGGCUGAGAAGAGCAUCAGAAACAGAAGGGAGAUGGCACAGCAAGGGGCAUUCUGGGGUGGAAAGGGCCGCUGUGUUCUACCCUAUGCCCAGGCCUGAAGGCACCUUGCAGCCAGGAGCUGCCCUGCCCAACUGCAACAGCACCUAACAUCGAAAACCCACGCGGAGGGAAAUGGCAUUCCUUCCCUUGGCUUAAAACCUCCUGAGGUCUCAGUGGUUUGCAGUUCAGUGGACUCACACGGACCCACGAAUACCACUGUGAAAUUAGGCCUCCUGCUCUACAACACGACACGUGGUAAAUCAGCCCCGAUCCACGCUCUGUCCAGGAGGAAUCUGCCUCCUUCUGAUGCAGAAGCAACCGGCAGCUGUUAACAUGGCACAGUGUGCACGACAGCACAGCACGGAGAAGCUGUGUGAGGGAGAACGAAGUUAUCUGCUAAGAGGGAACAGCAAAUUACCCAAAGAUCUCAUAACGUAUCCUGGAAUAAUCUCCCCAGAAAUAACCCCGCAUACUCCCCAAAAUUACACGAAUGUUCUAAACUUAUCUCCAGAAAGAACUGGCACUUGGAUUAGAUAGCUGCUGCAAUUAGCCUGUAAGAAAGCGGGGCACGGAAAAAGACUUCUACAGCUCACAUAAUUACAUGCACUCUGAAUCACAACACCGCAACAGAGCUCACUGAGCUGCUGAUCACACGGGACGUUUGCAAGCUCUAUCCUGCAAAGGCAGCGCACCAGGUUUGAUGCAGAAGGUCUGACUGCGUUGGCCUCUGCUCAGCACAAAGCUCCAGCAGUGCCUUGUUGAGCUGGGACAGCGCUGCUUCCCGCUGCUCCUCCUGCGGGAUGGACUUCAGAGCCUGAUGUGAGAAAACACAGCUCAGUGUUCCUUCCCAGCCCUCCGCACCCCAAUUCACCUCAGCACACUGCAGCUCUCUCCCUGGAUGCCAGUCUGAAACCAAUUGGCACCAGGAAUCCCACAGCCAGACACAGCCUGAGAUGUGGCCAACGCACGUGGGUGGGCCAUGCUGCCCCGGUCUCCCAGUUAGACCCACCCAGAGAGAUCCCUCUGCACCUGGGGACGGGGCUGCAGCAGGCCAGAAGGCCCCCUGACAACAGAGAAGCAGCUCAGAGCUUUCCAAGAGAGCAAUGCAGAAAACGGUGCUGCCGGAACCCCAACCACUCCUGGUUUAAUCCAGGCAGGUCUGCAUUCCACCCACAGCCUGUGUGACUGCCCCGAGUGCUCUGCUGAACAGAAGGACUCUCCGCAGGGAAGAGCUGUCGGGGAAGCCACAGGAGGCUGUGGGGUCGGCCUGCCUCCCCAUUCAGCUCUGGGAUGACAGAGAGCUAAUAGGGUAGGAGCUUAAAAUAUCCACGGCAUUGUCUGCUUCUUUUCUUCUGCACACAGCAGCCCUCGCCGUCUCUCUCGGGGAUUUCCUUACAGGAGCACUGAGGGUGCAGUCAGCAGAGCUGGAGUGCUCUGUGACACACACCAUAAAUCACCCCUAACUCAGGGAUGGUCGGCAGCAGAGCUCUGGGUGGGCUCACACUGGGGCACACCGGGCUGUAGGGGAAAUGGAACCCCACCGCUGUCCCUGUGCUGGGGGGGCACGGUGACCACCUGCUGCAAGUCCUCGAAUGAGAAGUUCCACGAUGAGCUGCCGGGUUCCUCCUCCCCCACAUCUGCCACUCGACUCGGAGUCGCUUCCAGGGUGCUCUUCCAGUCUGAGCCCUCCUGGGCAGAGAGAGCCUCCAGGACACCCUGCUGGGACCUCACGUCCUCCGCGGCGCUCUCCUGGUCUGAGGGCACCUCCUCCCCCAGGGCUGGCGGAGCAGUGCUGUGCUGUCUCCAUAGGUCACACAGCUGCUCCACCACUCGAUGCUGAUAAUGCAACUUGGGAUUCUUCCUGUGGAAUAACUCUUCCUCUGUGAUGUACACAUCCACGGGAGAUGGAGUGCGCUCUGGGGUCCGAAUUUGGACAAGAAGGUCCUUCAGAGUCUCCUCUACAAUAGCAGCACCCUCCUGAGCAGCCACGUCAGCCUGCAGCACAAUUCAUACCCACACUGCUAACUACAUGUCUUAAGCAGGAUUACAAGGACAACAGCAAACUCCACUCAACUAAGCAGUGGAAUUUGCAGUUUAUUCCCUAAUAUCACACUGCACGAUACACAGUGCUAUGCCCACUAACUAACCGAGUUCACUACAAAGAGAAAAUUCGUUUUUAAGGGAGCCCCUGCAUGCAGUUUAGCAGCACAACCACAUCUUUAUUAACAACAUCACAGUGUGCUGCAGGAUUCUUCCAUUUUAUUUAGCAAACCUGCUUAAGUACGUACAGACGUUCACAAAAU